ACGUAGGGAGCAAGCGUUGUUCGGAUUUACUGGGCGUAAAGGGCGCGUAGGCGGCGUGUCAAGUCGAUUGUGAAAUCUCCGGGCUUAACUCGGAACGGCCAAUCGAUACUGACGUGCUAGAGUGCAGAAAGGGCAAUCGGAAUUCUUGGUGUAGCGGUGAAAUGCGUAGAUAUCAAGAGGAACACCUGAGGCGAAGGCGGGUUGCUAGGCUGACACUGACGCUGAUGCGCGAAAGCCAGGGGAGCAAACGGGA
rnacentral:rRNA from 1 species